GCACAACGCGAAGAACCUUACCAGGCCUUGACAUGCAGAGAACUUUCCAGAGAUGGAUUGGUGCCUUCGGGAACUCUGACACAGGUGCUGCAUGGCUGUCGUCAGCUCGUGUUGUGAAAUGUUGGGUUAAGUCCCGCAACGAGCGCAACCCUUAUCCUUUGUUGCCAGCGGUUAGGCCGGGAACUCAAAGGAGACUGCCAGUGAUAAACUGGAGGAAGGUGGGGAUGACGUCAAGUCAUCAUGGCCCUUACGAGUAGGGCUACACACGUGCUACAAUGGCAUAUACAAAGAGAAGCGACCUCGCGAGAGCAAGCGGACCUCAUAAAGUAUGUCGUAGUCCGGAUUGGAGUCUGCAACUCGACUCCAUGAAGUCGGAAUCGCUAGUAAUCGUGGAUCAGAAUGCCACGGUGAAUACGUUCCCGGGUCUUGUACACACCGAGUCGUGGGGAGGGCAAGGGGC
rnacentral:rRNA from 1 species